GGAGUGUAUAUGUGUGUGUGAGUAUAAAUGUAUGUAGGGGGAGCUGACAUGGAGAACUGUAUGUAGGCAGGAAGCCUCCACGCUCACGCAUGCUUACUAUGCGGCCCCGGGGGUGGAGAGAGUCUAUGUAGUUAAAUCCACUGCCAGUGGAUAAGCCACUCACAGUGACAUGCAGAUAAGCACAGCAAGCAGCAAGGGCUCGGCCUGAGAAAUACAUACACACUUACAGACACACAUACAUAUACACACAGAGGAUAGCAGUACUUCAACAGGAUUUUGCAGGUUGUCACUAGCAGUUACACAAAAGAGCAGAGAGGUGAAAGAAGAAGAGAAGAGAAGCAGAGACAAAGCAGUCUGCAUAUGGAAAAGCUCAGCCAUGUGCACAGGUAAGAACAACUCCAGAAACUCUUUCAAUGACUUUGUGUAUAGGAAAAUAAUAAGGGACUAGUCAUGUUUAUAUAUUGGGCUUACUGCUGAUACAAUCUAGAGUCCUCCAUUUAUGGUUUAACACACUUUAUCAUAGCAAAGUCCUCUCUUUAAUUUGAGAUUAUUUUGUGUAUGAUUACAUUUUAGGCAAAUCUGGGUAAUUUUCUGUGAAUCAGAAUGAGUAAAAGUCAGUAGCGGGAUGGCACUGUUUGUGAGUGUGUGGAGUGUUUUGAGUUCACUGAAUAGUAUGAGUGAUGAUGAGUUUGUGUGUUGUAGAGGCUGAGGUGUUGCAGUGUGUGUGUGUGUGUGUGUGUGUGUGUGUGUGUGUGUGUGUGUGUGUGUGUGUGUGUGAGAGAGAGAGAGAGAGAGAGAGAGAGAGAGAGAGAGCUCUAAUUGUUGUCAGUGAGAGUGCACGCCUGCAGCGGUGGAAGGAGGGACAUAAACCUGGCACUGUCUUUGUUCUCUACAGUUGCAUGGCAGUUACAGAGCAGGUAUAUAAACACACACACACACACACACACACACACACACACACACACACACACCUUUCUGCUCUUGCCCUAAUCCACUCAAACUCAACAGCAGCUGCUCCAACCCACAGGAUACAUUCACUGGGGAUGGUUGUUUGUUUUAUUGUCUGUUCCCAACCAGAGGAAACCAGAUCAGAGAAAAGCUCCACUAGCCUGCAAAACUUAUUGUGCCUCCACACGAGUGAGUGGGUGGAUGUGAGUUUUAGUGCAAAUGUGUCUAAACGUGCAUUCGCAUGUGUUUGCCCAGAAGAGUGAGUGUGCAUGUAUGAGUGUGUGGGAGUUUGGAUAUAGGUAUUUGUGUAGGUGGGGUGUAGCUGUACAUGUGUGGGUGACUGAGUGCAUGUGUGAGUGUAAGGGUGCAUGUGCUUGCCUCUGUGAGUGUGUAUGUGUGUAUUAAACAUGCCUACUAGAACUGGCAAUAAUAUAAAAGCUGGGAUGUUUGUCAAACCUUGAGCAUUCCUGUACACCCUGACCCCAUACUGAAUGCUGAGAAUUUCAGCUGAAACAGAAAGAUAAUAGCCAGGAGGACAUUUAAGAGGGUUUAGCUCAGAUCCCUGGGAAUCAAUCCCCCGGGUGCAGUGGGAAAAUCAAGAGCUCAGGCCUGUAUUUCAGGUUUCAGUUAGAGACAGUUGCAGCCUGCUGCCGAGGGGCUUUCCCAAAAUGGGGCACAAUCGGGAGGGGAUACAAAGAGACCCACCUGUGGUGCUCUGAGGACUGUGGUGUCUGCUCACAGUGGGAAAUGUCUUGCUGUUGUAGCCCUGCAAGGCUGCUGAUAUUUUUCAUUUCUAUUUGGCUGAUUAAUUCAGUGAUGGAUUUGAAUGGUGUGUGGUCUGUAAUGUAGUCUAGUUUUCUACAGCAUGAAUAUAAAGGACAAGGAAGGCUGUGUCAUUAUGUCUCUUCAUGGGGUUCUUGAGCAUGGACAAAUGUUAAAUAAGCAUGUUAUCACACACACACACACACACACACACACACACACACACACACACACACACACAUACACUAGAGCCUUUUAUAUGUUACUGAUAAUUAUAAAUCUUGCUUUAAACCAUUCAAUAUAUAAUUGCAAUAUCACAGGAAUCUAAUAUUACUAGCAAUAUCAUUAACAUGAUUUUGGAGGAGAGAUAGUAAUUAAAACCAACACAAGUUGCUCUGUAGCUAAUUAAAAUACCUGUGCAGAAAAAUUGUCCAUUUUCCCUUCAUAACAUAUUUGAGCACAGUGUUGCCCUGAACUAUUUUUCAUUUAUCUAAUUUGUUUACUUAAUAUACAGUGCCUGUUUUUUAGGGGCCAAGCACCAAAAGUGCGUAGGCACUUAUUGUAUCUGUUAGUUUUCCUCUUCUUCUUCUUCUUCUUCUUCUUCUUCUUCUUCUUCUUCUGCUGCUGCUUCUUCUUCUUCUUCUUCUUCUUCUUCUUCUUCUUCUUCUUCUUCUUCCACCCCAUUGCUAGUCUAUGGCAGCCCUAUGAACCAUAAGUAGGAAAAUUAUGAAAUUUGGCACACUCAUAGACAUGACCAUGAAUAGUAUCUGGACCAAUUAUGGGGUCUCUAAGACCAACUCUAUAGCACCACCACUAGUUCACUUUUCAAAUGGUUAUAAUUGUUGAAAACUUGGUCCUAGAGAAAAGCAAUUUAGUUCAUCAGAUUACUCUCCUCAUGCUGAUCACAAUACAUUUCUUACAUUAAGACCCCACCCAUUACAGUAGUCACCACUUUGAAAUGUAAAGUAUUCAGUUUUUUCAUUACUUCUCAUUCAAAUUUGGUCCAAUUCUUACUGAAAUUGGCUCAGAUGAUCAUUGGACAGAGCUGCACAGAAAUGACUGAACAGAACUUUGAUAUUCAUAUGUGUUCAAAAGUUAUGAUGUCGCAAAUUUAAUUAUGUUGACCCAAAAUUGGUUCACAGGCAGUGUCUUGGCCAGACUUUGAUCAAUUGUAACGAAACUUGGUAGUCUUCAUCAGCAGCAUAAUCUGAGGGUUCAUGCCAAAUUUGAGAACAGCGCCACCUAAAGGUCAUGAGAUUUUAAAAAGGAAAUUUUUUGCUUAUAACUUUUGAAUGCUUUGUCAGAAAAUUUUGAGCUUGGUGUGCACAGAUUCAGUGGGUCAUGCCGAAUCCGUGUAUAUGAAUUUUGCCAGGAUUGGGCAAAUCGCCUGUCCGCCAUUUUGAAAUUUCUUAUAUAUUGUAAUAUCUUUUCAAGUAUUUGACAUAUCGGCACAAUUUCGUAGGGAUCAUUCAUAGCAUGUCCUCUAGAUACCUGAGAAAGUUGAAUGCAGUGCCACCUAGUGUUCUAGAGAUAUAAGGUUUUUUUGUAAAAAAAAAAAAAAAAAACAUAACUUUUGAAAACAUUCUCCGAAAUUUGUUUUUUCUGCUUCGUUACGUAUGUGGUGCACUGUGAUAAAUGACAAGCAUCAAUACUAAAGAUCCUGGGUUCAAUUUCUGUGUGGUGCAAAUUCUUAAAAGUCUGUGUAAUGUUUUGUCUUUCAGUUCCUUUCUUUUGUGGCUCAGCAUUACACUAAACUUUCAAUCUCUUGCCAUGCUAAUAAAUGUCUCUGUUCUGUUCAUUUCCUGUUCAUCUUAUUCUCAGCUGUGUUUCUGAACCUAUCUUUUAUUCAUUAAUGUACACACUUUUUCCUCCUCUUUGUGUUCUUCAGGCUCCGCAUUGCACUUGCUGUGCCUUUGGUGCUUGGCCCCUUUAAACACUGCUUGCAGCUUUAAUUUAAUAUUACAUUUGCUUGUAUAGUCCAUCAAUUGGGUAAAUCCUUUCUCAAAUUGGUGAAUUCCAUUUUCCAUCCCAUUAACUAGGUAAUUAAAAUUAGGCCUGUACUGCAUUUAAUGGUUUGGUAUCAGCAUGGUGUCACAACAAUACACUGGAACCAAUAACAACAGUGUCAGACUAACUUACAAAAAAAACAUCCAGUAUGGGCUCCAUUUUGUUCGAAUUUUUGGUAAAAAUGUAUAAAAUACGUAACAAUUUGCACAACUCAAAUUCCUUUGGUCAUGAUUAACAUUAACAUUAGGGUUAUGGGUGGGGUUAGUAUGGAUUCUUGCUACUUCCUCUGUGUAAACCUAAUAAAAUCCAGUUGAAUUAAUAAUAAUAAUAAUAAUAAUAAUAAUAAUAAUAAUAAAUAAUAAUAUGUCUGAUAUCUCGUGUCUCAGGUUGUAAAAAGGUUUCUAUAAAAUUGAAUGGCUUUUAAGGUUAAGCUUCCUAAAUAACUAAAAAUAGUAAUAGGAUUUCUCCAUGUCUGGCACUGACAGUUCUUCCUACAUCAUCAAAUAGCAAUUUUGGACAAGUAUCAGUUAUGUGGACUUACUGAUACAUUGCAUCAGAUGUUAGAUUAAUUCCCCUCCAAGAAUAACAUGUUUGCCUUGCAUCAGAUUUAGUCAACUGAGCAAUUGAUGAGCUAAACUGUGUUAGUGUAGUGCAGAAAUCAGCAGAAAUGUUUGAAUUCCAGUUGUCGCAUGUGCUGUUAUAUAGGAAAGUUAUAUGCAGCUACAUAGGAAAGUCCCUUUGAUGUAAGCAGUGUAAAUCAGCCAGUUUAGAUAUGUAUGCAGUGUGUGGAAUGACUGGGAGUGCAGUUGAAAAUAAAAGUUGAAGCCAGAUUCAUGUGCUGGAGGAACGCUGCUGACACUUCAUAUGCAGGGAAGAGAGGUGUGUGGUAGAUUCAAGAAAUUGAAAAAUAGGGAAAACCUCUCUGCUUUCAAAAAUUUCAUGACAAAUAGUCAAUAACUUGUUAUUGCAGAUGCCAUUGAUCAAUGGAAACAUGGCAAAAAUAAAUAUAGUAAUAAAUUAACCUUGUUAAAAUCAAAUAUGGUGAAUUUGGAGAGAGGAGAUGGAAAUUAUAUUGUAUGAGAGACAAAGAAAGACAUCUCUUUAUGUAUUUUAUGGUUUUGAAGCCGGGAAGAUGUUAUUCACCCUGGUUUAUAUACACAGUUACUCUCAUUCACUGCCUAAUAUUGUAAAUGUAGAAAUGUUGGGUGGUGAGUUGGGUGAAAGUUCACCAGAAGCUCUCUGACCUAGUCUUUUGAUGUUUCGGUAUUUGAGGUCAAUGGUGAUCUAUGUAAUGAUGACUGAAUGUUUUUUCUUUAGUCAUUUGGGAGAGGUUUCUGGAAAAAAAAUUCAAACCACCCCUGAAUGAAAAGAUACUGACCUUGUCAACUGAGCCUAGACUGAAUGCAUUUAACCUGUCAAUUCCUCUGUGACAUUUGUUUCAUUAUUUUUUAAAUGAUAAAAUAAAGACUACUAAUUUUUAUAUUCAUGUUCACAUGAUGUCGUAAAACAGCGUUGCACUUUUACCUUUUUAGAUGUCUAUAAAAAAGACACAUAUAUCUAUUACAAUGCUCAGGCUAUAUUUGAACAAAUUAUAGAGGUUUAAAUUAAGCAAGAAAAUAAUGCACCUUUAAAAAUUUAUUUUCUGUUACAUGUUUGCAAAGCAUUUUUAGUGUUGAGAUAUUUAGUCAAUUUGACAAAGUAAUUUUGAAGAGAGAAAGAAAACUUAAUAAAUAAACAAAUAAAUAAAUAACUUCUAUAGAACCUAGUUAUUCAUUACAAUUUUUUCCAGUCUAACUAAACAAAUGAAAUGUGUCCUUUAGACCAUGGUUAAACAAAUUCCAGCCAAAGUUGUUAAAGCUGAAAUGCUGUGAUGUGCUCGUCUGCUUUGUUAACCCUAAAGAGAUGUCUUUGUGUACAUGGCUUCUCUGCGGAUGAGAUAGAGAAAGCAUGCAAAUCAAAUGUUGCUAUUGUGUGCUUUCUUACACAAGUGCAAUAGAGUUUAUUAGAUGUGCGACUGAAAAACGGUAAAUUAAGAUCUAUAAGUCUCAGAGAUGACAUGUCUUGCUAUUGGCUGUAUAAGUUUGAUGAAGCUUGAUUAUGCAAUUUUGUAAUAUCACUCUGUUAAUAAUAACAGUACAGUGUAAUACUCCAAGAUGUUUGUCAGUGAUUACAGACAUAGGGUAGUAUUUAUGGAUUGACUGUCAUGACUGAGGAAAUUACAUUAAAAAUGUAUAGUAAUAAUCAGUAAAUAAUUACAAUUCUGGUAGAAACUAUUAAAACAUACAAAUAUAGCAUCUGUAAAUUUCAUGUACAUGUUAAAAUAAUACAAGUUAUAGAUUUUACGUAUAUGUUUUUCAUAAUCUUACCUUAUAAUUUAGCCUUUUGAGAACAGCCCAUGUUUAUCACAUUGCUUUGUUUUGUAAAAACGAUUACCACUAUGGGGCUCAAAUAAUACAAAUACUCCUCUUUAUGUGUGUCAUAGUUUCCACAGCAACAUAUUAUUGUUUUAGUAUUUGCUGUUUGAUGCUUUAGAUUUUAGUUUUAGAUUAAUGUUUGCUAAUAAAUGAGCCUUGAUUUGCAUAACCAAAUAAUCAUUAAUCAUUAGGGAAUUACCCCCCCCACACACACACACAUUAAUGUAUGAAUGGAUUUAUAAUUGUAGAAUUUGAAUCUAGAAUAAUAACUGCACACAGUACUCUGUAGAGGAUAAAAUAUCAUUUUUACCAUAAUUUUUGCAAUUUAAUUAUAGGAAUAUCAUAAUCAUGAUUCUAUUGCUCUGUUCUUCUAGCAUUGUUUAUGUGAUUACAAUGCUAUUACAUUGUAACUACCAUAUGCAGACCAGACUCCAUACUGCAAUUAAAUUAUCUCUGAGAAUAACUUGAAUGCUGCUUGGAUUGUAAAGUAUUAUUUUAAACAGUAUGUUUAAUCGGUAUAUGUUAUUAACUUAGAUUGGGUAUUUUAUUUUAUUUAAUUUAUUUUUUUAAACAGUUUAGCUUUGUUAAUAUUGUUAAUUUUUAAGAUUUGGCAUAUGCCAGACCACUGUUCUUUAACACCCGCUUGUACGUGUUUCUACAAAAUGGUCCAUCGUGUCAAUCAAUAAAUCAGCAUCAGUUUGUGAAAAUGUACUUUGCCAUGUUUUAUUACAAUACAUGAUAGAUGUUUUGUAAGUGUUCAGCAGUCCGGAUUCUGAAGCUUCAAAUUUCCCCAGCUUGAUCCUCACGUCAUCAUUCUCUAAACAGCUCUGAAACGUUUUUCUGAAAAAGUGAAAGGGACAGUGGAAAGAACAUAUUCUUCAUAUGCCAGUCUGGCACAUGGGAAAUUUUAUGUAAAUCGUUGGGCACCUCCCACAGUUGUUGUAUUUCCCCUGUACAUCCUAUCUGCAUUCGGGACAUGACUGAGAGCACGCUGGAGAUAAGAGUACAUAAUAUGAGGUGAAUGAAACAAUGUGGUCGUUUAGGUGAACUCCCAUCAUAAUCGCUUCCUGCCGUAAUUUUCUCUGGUGAAACCCCGGGUAUCUACUGUAACUGAAAGGGAGGGGGACGGGAGGGGAGGCAUGUUGUUGCUUAGGGCUUUCCCUCAAAAUAACUGUCUGCUUACAGCUACAUCUUUUUUAUUAGCCUGCAAAAGCAGAAGACAGUAAUCUGCCGUAAUUCACAUUUUAGCUCAAUAAAUGCCUCACAUACUUUCAUAAAAGCAUAGAAGACUUUCAUUGUUAUUCAUGAAGUUUAAAGAUGGGUGUGUUAUAUAUUUAAGGGUUAGGUAUACGCCCUAGUUUAGAUAUGAAAACGCCUCUAGGUAAUUUAGAAAAGAAAAAAAGUAACAGUUUUUUAGAAUUAUUUUUUAAUUAUCGGUAAUAUAACCUAAUCCUUAUUAAUUUUGCUUUGACGAAAUGUAAUUAUUAUAUAAUGUAUUAUUAUUAUUAUUACUAUUACUGUAGCAUAUAUUAUUAUUAUUAUUGGCUGUCAUUGUGUUUGUGAUAUUUCAGGUCAGCAUGCUUGUGUAGUCAGAAUAUCGGGGAUUUCUCAGAAAUUAACGCAGCGUUUACAUCAUUGCGCACAAUCAAUUUUCUAGACUUUCUCGAAAAUGGUGUGUGUGUGCGCGCGCGCGCGCGCUCUGAGUCCCCGAGCCUGGAGAAGGGCCGGCCCCGGCUGAGGGGGAUUUCUGCAGCGCUUUAGCCUGUGUGGCUAGUAGUGAAGUAAGCGGGGGCCGUGUGUGAACAGGCAGAUACACACAGCAAGAGAGAGAAAGAGAGCGAGAGAGAGAGCGAGAGAGAGAGAGCGAGAGAGAGAGACGCAGAUAAAGAGAGAGCCAAAGAAGAAAAAGAGACUGAAAAGGAGAGAGAGAGAGAGAGAGAGAGAGAGAGAGCGCUCUGUUUCCCACAGUGAGCCUGUAAUUGCACGAGGUGGCCGCCGCAAAUGGAAGCGGCAAAUGAGUGACAAGAGGGUGAGUGAGUGACAGAGCCAUUAACAUUAAGUGUGUCUGCUGCUAAAUCGCUUUGUGUUUCCGCUGAACGCUCUCCUUUUCUUUCUCUCUGUAUUGUUUUCCACAUCUCUGCACGGUUUAAUCCGGGCUCGCGCGUGUUCUGAGAGUCUUUAUGCUGUGGUGAGCGGCGGCGGAAGCGCGCGGGGAGGCUAAACUGAAGGUGCUGUCAUGUCAUGGUGAAUGUGGAUCACCAGGCACUGAGGCUGAACAGGGAGAAGACUGAGACUCAGCACAUGCAAGCAACAUUCAGCCAUCAGGAAAUACUCCUUUCACCCAGACUGAUGAGCAAGGAUGCCAAGGCACUGAAGCUGACUCUGUUUUACAACGAGGGCUGUUUCUGUGCCAUACUGGUUUGCUCAUGAGCUGCUCAGUAGUCAGUGUAGAUCCUGUGUUGCAAUCAGCAGCUACAUCUGGCUACUGGGUCUCUGAUGGCAUUCUGUGCUUCCUGUUGGCACAUUCCAUUCAGAUUAUGCGGUAUGUGGACUCCAUCCUGUCAUUCACAAAAUAGCACCCUCUGUAUUAGAAGGGCUGAAGACUUUCCCUGCUCUUGUUAUUUAAUUUAGCUGUCCAUAAGGGUUUCAGAAUUUGACCUCUUCACACAUCUCCAUUAGUUUAUUGUGUUUUUGGCUUAUUGUUUCUCUAAAUAAUUUGACACGCACUCUGCAUGCAGUGGUGUUGUUGAAGCAACUAGAAAUUAUUUCAGACUUCUGUUUUGACAUGGUGGUAUUGUCCGAUGAAUGGAUCCAGCCAUUGUCUCUCGACUGACUGUUGAAGAUGCAGUUUGAGUGAUUUGAUGACAAAGGAGAAGGCAAGAUGUCACAUUCUUUGUGUGAUUAGGCUGUCAUAGUGGCUGGGUUUGUGUGAAUGCCUUCAGUUGCUGACGGCUGAGAAAUAAUGAAUGUGAAUCUUUUGCACAUGCAGAAGCCCAUCACUUUGCGAGGGCGAAUGAUGAAUUCUUUUGUGUUGUCCCGAACCUGGCAUACAAUGUAGAAUUCUGUGUGGUACAAUCUACAGCUACAUUGUCUGCUGGGUUUCAGGCUGGCCAUAAAUGCUCAUCAGUUCAUUAUAUGAAUAGGUAAGUAACCAACUGUUAUUAAAUGUUUAAAGUAAAUGUUGAGAACACAAUAAAAAAAAAGUAAUAAAACAUGCAGUGGAGUGUUUCUCAUUAUUUCUUGGAGGACCCUCUACAGGAAAGAGAAUUCUAUUUGAACACACAAUGUUUCAGUGAUGAAAUUUGUAGGGCAGCACACUCCUGACAGACUGUCACAAUUUUGCUAAGGACAAAAAUAGAAUCCUGCAUAUGACAACAGUGUGCUCUAUCCUUAUCACCAUUAUUAAACUGGAAGGUCCUUUUCCCAGAACACACACUGAGGCCCUGUCUCAGUCUCUCUCGUUCUCUCUCACACACAAACUGAAUGAAAUAAAAAUAAGUGACUUUAGAAAAAAAACAGCAUUAAUCUAAAAGGUGACACAAAACAAUAAUUUGCCCUUCAUUUCCACCUCACCAGGAGGCAGAGGUAUUGUCUAAAUAAUAUCAAGGCUUACAGUCAAACACAGACUAAUGAAGAAUCCCUGUAUCUGUAGAGAACUUCAUCUAUCAGAGACAGUCACAGUAUUGACGCAAUACUUACUACGAGCGCAGAUCUGCCCAUCUUUCAAUGCAAUUAUAUCUGGAUAUAACUUAUUUUACACACUAUACCUCUAUCUUUUGAUUGAAAUGUAAUUUGUUUGUUGUAUUACUAAGCAAUACUGUGCCUAUUAAGGCAACAAAUCAACACAAAUAAAAAAUGGACACCAUGCUGCUCAUGCUUCCCAUUAGAGCCUAAAUGAACACUGUUAAUUUAGCAAAAACAAUAUGGUUCCCAGUGGUACCUCCACAUUUGCAAGUCUGCACCGUAUGUCAUUCAUUCUUUUGUGCCUGGAUAUGGCCUAUGCCAAGCAGGCGCCCAGGACAGCAGGGCAUGCGCUAAUGAUCAGGCCCAGGUGUUUCCAAUGAUGCCGCUUCCCCUCACCGUACUGUUUGGACAGCAGGAAUGUAGAGGCAGUGCAGGUGGUCAAGGGGGCCGUAUGUUCUCCAUACAGGGCUCACGACUAGCCCAGCCAGUGAAAACUGGAACCACUUCAAUAAAAAAGAAAAAAGGAAAAAGGAAAAAAGAAGGGCACAGUCAGGUCUGAUCCAUGGCUGGGCUGUUUCCCCUCACUGUUGCCUCACCCAUGAGGCACACAUGAUUAUAAGGAUAUGGGAUUAUUAAUUCUAACUAAAUUCAAUAUGCUUCUAGAAACUGGUGUCGGUAACAGUAUUUUUCUAUUUAUAUUUAUCCAUAAAUAUUAUAACUGUCUAAUGGCUGUUAUUUUCACUAAAUAGGACCAUUGUAGUUGUAAUUUAAAACUGAUGCUGUAACUUACAAAAUACUUUUGACCACAAGUUUAGCUUCGCCGUCCACUGAAAACAAGGAUUUCCAAAGGGAGAGGCUGUACAGCGAAAGUAUUUCAGUAAUGUAAACUUCUGAAUGCCAUGUAAUGGGACUAAAUUGCUCCUUUGAUAACUUGUGAGGCAAGUGCUCUGAGAUGACAUCAGCGGGUGUCCUCCAGGGCACACUGGGACAUGGGUGGAAUGCUAAUUGACGCACUGCCAGGGUCUCCGUGAGGCGACGGCCGGGACUGAUAAUGAGGCUCAGAGCCAAGGCCUGGAUUUUAUCCUCAGCCCCUCCUUAGACCCAGCAUUACACAUUUUAGGCCAAAGGUGAAGGUGGAGAGUACUGGGCAGAUCUCCAGCUCAUUUACAUCACUGAUAUCAUGUGCACAGGAUACAGUUUGCCUGAGGCAAGUAGUGUUACUGCUCCUAUUAUGCACAGACAUAUACACAUCCAAUCAAUACCACCAACAUUUCCAAGAGGACAUCCACUGGAACCAUCAAUAUAAAACAUACACAGACAAAUACACACCUCACAAGCUAAUACCCAGAUAUUUCACAAAACAAAAAAAGUCAUGGAGAAAUAUUAAUCACAGGCAACCCUGACCUUUUCUGAGUGAUUGCGUGAAUGUGCAGUAAAACGUUAUGCAAAGUUUGGCAUAUGAAAAUUACAGGCUCAAAGUUUAUUGUUUAUAUGAAACCAAAAUGUGUGGCCAAGGAGAGAUGCAGUCAGAAAUGUUUACAUCAGGCAGUUCCAUUUAAAUUUUACAUGGAACACAAGAAUACUAGGAAUAAAAUGAAUAAGGAAUAACAUAAGAGGAAUAAAAUUCCCUCCCUAAUGAGCACUUGCUUGUGUGUUGUAUUUUCCUUCAGUACCUGAGUGACUCAAAGUCAAGCACAGAACUGAUAUAAACCCCAGUGCCAGGGGCAGAUUACAAACUGACAAAUAAAGUUUCUAUAUCUCAAUUGCCCAGAGUCAAGUCCAUCUGCUCCACUGGGUGCCAUGGAGAUUGGGCUGCACCAGUAUGGCGAAGAGAGAAUCAGUCUGGCUGGAGAGACAUUUGGUGUGAAAAAUACCUCCCUCCAACUGUUCCACAAGAUGAGCCAAUCACAGUUAUAGGCAGAAUUUACCCAUUUCUGUUUAAAAUGUUUUGUCUAUAAUUAAGGCAGCAGUCCCACUGAAGAUUCUGAAUUUCAUAUAAGGCUGAUUUACAGCUAAGCAUUUAAAAAAAAAAAGGUUGUAAACAGGUUAGAUACUUCAGUUCACACACUCUUACAUAAGCUUCACCAAACCUUCAAUAGGUGAGUGCACGUCUCAGGAAAGUAUCAAUUAUACAUGAAAAACACAGUCUUAAUGAUAUAAGAUCAAGCGGAAAUCAUCUAUAAAGCUGUACUAGCACAGACAAACCGACAUGAUCAUGCCUGUUAUAUCCAGUUACC
ensembl:lncRNA